rnacentral:rRNA from 1 species
UACGUAGGGUGCAAGCGUUGUCCGGAAUUAUUGGGCGUAAAGAGCUCGUAGGCGGUUUGUCGCGUCUGCUGUGAAAACUCGGGGCUUAACCCCGGGCCUGCAGUGGGUACGGGCAGACUAGAGUGCGGUAGGGGAGACUGGAAUUCCCGGUGUAGUGGUGAUAUGCGUAGAUAUCGGGAGGAACACCUGUGGCGAAGGCGGGUCUCGUGGGCAACAACUGACGCUGAGGAGCGAAAGCGUGGGGAGCGAACAGG